CCUCUGCCUCCAUGGCUUCCUUCCUGCUGUCAUCUGCUCCCAACCACUCUCCGGGGAAAACCCAGCCUCUCUGCUUUGCUUCUGUGACUGACUUCAGAGCAUCCUCUGGGUACCCAUGAAGUAUCAAAGAAAGAGCAGAGGAGAGACAAAGAGCUGUGUCUGGUUCAAGAAAACCUACCUGCCAUCUCUCCCUCCCCGGCUUGUAUUUCUUUGCAGAGCCCUAGAUUGCUUACCGGGUCCCAGGAACAGACUGGGCUGUCACCACUUCAACCCUCAUCCUCAUCUCUUCAACACAGUUUUCAGGGAGCCCACGAUCUAUCUCAGGGAUGAACUACAUACCCGAGAAAGCCAGGCCAACCCUGAGUCUUCCUUGCUCCAGUUUGGACUGCCUGUGGGGAGGCAGGUGGAAUGCUAUUCCUCCUGUUUGGUCUUCAGCCCCUAGAUUGCUGCAUGGUACAGUCCUCUGUGAAAACCCCAAGGAGUUGGAGGAGUGACUGCCCUCUUGCUUCCUGGCAUCUCUCUGAAGAAUGCGCAGUGUCGAAAGCCCGUGAUCCACACUUGGACAGUGAAGACUGGAGAAUCAGGAGUUCUGGACCGGCCUUGGCGAUAUGGCACCCUAGCUCGAAUACUAAACACACAAAAUGAAUGUGAUGCUCCCACUGAGGCUAACAUUCUGAGUGUCUGCUUCUUUAGUCUUGGGGUGAUGGCUUGCAGUUUUCUAAGUCCCCUAAAAGCUCAGCACUGCCCAAGGUAGGCUUCUAAAGUAUCCAAUGCUACCAUGAGCUCAGAGCCUGUCUGGAAGGGAGUGAGGGAGGAAACUGCACAGCCCUAUGGGCACCCUCCCUCUACAGUCACCCCAACCCCGUUCUAGAGGGCACAGGCUCUGGAAAAGCUAAAUAAAUAAAUAACCUCUUGGAUACCCAA
rnacentral:lncRNA from 1 species